UACGUAGAGUGCAGGCGUUAAUCGGAAUUACUGGGCGUAAAGCGUGCGCAGGCGGUUUGCUAAGAGAGAUGUGAAAUCCCCGGGCUUAACCUGGGAACUGCGUUUCUAACUGGCAGGCUUGAGUGUGGCAGAGGGGGGUGGAAUUCCGACGUGUAGCAGUGAAAUGCGUAGAGAUGUGGAGGAACACCGAUGGCGAAGGCAGCCCCCUGGGCUAACACUGACGCUCAUGCACGAAAGCGUGGGGAGCAAACAGG
rnacentral:rRNA from 1 species